rnacentral:tRNA from 1 species
GGAUUGUGGCUCAGUGGCAGAGUGCUUGCCUCACACGUAUGAGGCACUGGGUUCGUUACUCAGCACCA